UAAUCGUCCCUGGCCUGGGGGAAGGGCCGCUAACGCGCCGGGCCGUCGCGUAAAUACCAAUAAUCACGCCGCGUCCCACUUUGCUCUCUCGCCUUGCAACUUAAAAGCCUACUGCCUCGCCAGAUUUGCUCCAAUUGUGCUACAAAUGACAAUUGCGUCCGAAUAUGGGGCCGAGCGCGUCAGGAAAGGUGGCACUGCGAUCUGCUAACAUGUCUCGGAACGACGACAAGAAGCGGCUUUUUAAGGACUCCGAGUUCGGGCAAACAUGAGCAUUUGCCUGCCUUCACGCAUCGGUAGGUGUGGAGGCGCGCGUGGAGAAAGGCACCCGAACUGGCGGCGAGCCCUUCGAACAGCCAGGCCGCCUGCUCCGCCCCUUCGUCUUCGCAUGCGCUUCCAAGCGAUCACCAGCACAAGGGCACCGCUGGCACGAGUACGGGUUGUUGAGGCAUGCUGAGAGCGCCUGGGUCCUGUCGGUGGCCUAGGAAAGGGCAAAAGGGCUGCGGGGUCGGCCGUGAGAGGGAGAGCGUGGCGGAGACGUGUUUCUGACGAGGGCUCGUGUGACGAUUGGUGAGGCCUCCCUCGACAUGCGUUCACUUCCUGUCAGGCAGACGGGCAGGUGUGUGGGAUCCGCGGCAGUGAGCCUGCUGUGUGUGCUGGAGGGUGGUGGUUGUGACCUUGCGGAGCAUUAUGUGAGCCUUGAUGGUUGUCAGUGAUAUCUUCCCCAGCAACUCACGGCCAACAUGACGCUGAACGCCCUAUAACUUGCAGGUCUGGGGACGGCGUCGACGCUGGGUGGCGCCUAGCUAUGGCAGCACGUGCUGGCGCUGCUGCACAAUGGCGUCAAUCGAUUAAACCCGAUGGAGAGGGUGUCUGCAGAACAGCAGCAGACGGUGGCAGCGGCGCUGCGGCUGUGGCGCUCACACUUCCAG
rnacentral:lncRNA from 1 species